GACGAACUGUCCUAACGUUGUUCGGAAUCACUGGGCGUAAAGGGCUCGUAGGCGGCCAACUAAGUCAGACGUGAAAUCCCUCGGCUUAACCGGGGAACUGCGUCUGAUACUGGAUGGCUUGAAUCCGGGAGAGGGAUGCGGAAUUCCAGGUGUAGCGGUGAAAUGCGUAGAUAUCUGGAGGAACACCGGUGGCGAAGGCGGCAUCCUGGACCGGCAUUGACGCUGAUGAGCGAAAGCCAGGGGAGCAAAGCGGG
rnacentral:rRNA from 1 species